AACAGGGAUUGCCCCAGUAACGGCGAGUGAAGCGGCAACAGCUCAAAUUUGAAAUCUGGCUUCGGCCCGAGUUGUAAUUUGCAGAGGAUGUUUCUGGCGCGGUGCCUUCCGAGUUCCCUGGAACGGGACGCCAUAGAGGGUGAGAGCCCCGUAUGGUUGGAUACCAAGCCUGUGUGAAACUCCUUCGACGAGUCGAGUAGUUUGGGAAUGCUGCUCUAAAUGGGAGGUAAAUCUCUUCUAAAGCUAAAUACCGGCCAGAGACCGAUAGCGCACAAGUAGAGUGAUCGAAAGAUGAAAAGCACCUUGAAAAGGGGGUUAAAUAGUACGUGAAAUUGUUGAAAGGGAAGCGUUUAUGACCAGACUUGUGCCAGGCGGUUCAUCCGGCGUUCUCGCCGGUGCACUCCGCCUGGCUCAGGCCAGCAUCGGUUUCCGUGGGGGGAUAAGAACGGUGGGAACGUGGCUCUUCGGAGUGUUAUAGCCCGCCGUACGAUACCCUCGUGGGGACCGAGGUUCGCGCAUCUGCAAGGAUGCUGGCAUAAUGGUCAUCAGCGACCCGUCUUGAAACACGGACCAAGGAGUCGUCCAUUAGAGCGAGCGUUUGGGUGUCAAACCCGCACGCGUAAUGAAAGUGAAAUUAGGUGAGAGCUUCGGCGCAUCAUCGACCGAUCCUGAUGUUCUCGGAUGGAUUUGAGUAAGAGUUUUAACGGACGGACCCGAAAGACAGUGAACUAUGCUUGUAUAGGGUGAAGCCAGAGGAAACUCUGGUGGAGGCUCGCAGCGGUUCUGACGUGCAAAUCGAUCGUCCAAUAUGAGCAUGGGGGCGAAAGACUAAUCGAACUGUCUA
rnacentral:rRNA from 1 species